CUGGACGGCGAAGAGGUGCGUCUGUGGAGACUCUGCUCCAGCCCUGAAAUGUCCUUCUCCUGGCUCAGCGUCCCCUCCAGCCUCCGGUCUCCAGCCCCUCCUCAGCAUUCUGAGUUUUCCGGCGUGGUGAGACUCUAGAGAAGAGAUUUGUUGGUGAGAGCAUCUUGGAAACUACACUCUGACUUGGUGGAACAGGCCC